GGGAGGGACAGAGGAGAGGAGAACCGCGGGCCGCGGAUGAGACGGGCUGUGCCGGCCGACCCUCGGGGGCCCGUUGCCCUCCCACCGGGCUCAGGCCUCAGUUUCCCCUGUCGCACCAUCGCCUCCCCCCACCCCGACUCUCACUCCCGCCGGCCUUCGCACACCCGCUUCUCCCGGGGACCAGCGGUUUGGAACCUCCGAGAGGCGUCGAGGGCACUCGUGAGCCAAGCCCAGUGCUCACGGCCCCAGGACAGCUCGGGACUUCCCCCUCCCACCUAGGACGACCUACCAGACACGGAGAGCAGCGCGGAGGAGCUGGGGCCGAGUCCUGGAAGGGAGAGCUAAGGGUCUUCACACGGUCUUCCCUGCUGGUAUCCAGUAUGGAUCUUAACAGAGCCCAGCCUACCUGGGGAAAGGACAGUAUUCAACCCUAGCCCUCGUUAGCCUUCCAGUCUCACUCAGAGAGAAAAAUACCCUGGCCUUACCAACAGAGGAGCAAGGACAGGGUUACAGCAGACUUCUCAGAAACCAUGCAAGCAAGAGAGUGGGAGGAAAUAUUCAAACGGUUGAAAGAGUUCUUUACCCAGCGAAAUUAUACAUCAGACAUGAAAGAAAUAAAGACUUCCUCACACAAACAAAAACUGAGGGUGUUUCUCACUGGUAGAGCAGCCCUGAAAGAAUUGUAAAGAGAAGUUCUUCAGAGAGAAGGAAAAUGAUACAGGUCAAAAUUCAGAUCUACAUAAAUAAUGAAGAACAUUAAUGAAAGAAUAAAUGAAGGUAAAAUAAAGUCUGUGUUUCCAGUAUGCUUAGCUGAUCUAUCAGUUUGCUCAAAAUAAUGAAAUCAGCAUCAGGUGAUUGUAGCUUGUGGGUAGGAAAUGAGUGGUGACAGUGUGUGUGAGAUGGAGGAAGACUGGGGAUAUGCUGGUCAUAGGGCUUUUGUGCUGCCUACGAAGUUCUGGAGUGUUAUUUGAAAAUGGAUUUAGAUUGAUUGUAAAAGUAGAUUGUAAACUCUAGGGAAACCACUAAAGCAUUUAAAAAAAGACAUAUAAUUGAUAUGUUAAGAGAAUAAGAGAAAUUUGAAAAUCAUAUAAAGUACUCAAAACCAGAGAAGGUGGAAAAAGAGUGGAGGACAAAAAAAAAAAA